rnacentral:rRNA from 1 species
AACGGAGGGGGCUAGCGUUGUUCGGAAUUACUGGGCGUAAAGCGCACGUAGGCGGCUUUGUAAGUCAGAGGUGAAAGCCCGGAGCUCAACUCCGGAAUAGCCUUUGAGACUGCAUCGCUUGAAUCCAGGAGAGGUGAGUGGAAUUCCGAGUGUAGAGGUGAAAUUCGUAGAUAUUCGGAAGAACACCAGUGGCGAAGGCGGCUCACUGGACUGGUAUUGACGCUGAGGUGCGAAAGCGUGGGGAGCAAACAGG